rnacentral:rRNA from 1 species
GGGGAAUAUUGCACAAUGGGGGAAACCCUGAUGCAGCAACGCCGCGUGAGUGAUGACGGCCUUCGGGUUGUAAAGCUCUGUCUUCAGGGACGAUAAUGACGGUACCUGAGGAGGAAGCCACGGCUAACUACGUGCCAGCAGCCGCGGUAAUACGUAGGUGGCAAGCGUUGUCCGGAUUUACUGGGCGUAAAGGGAGCGUAGGCGGACUUUUAAGUGAGAUGUGAAAUACCCGGGCUCAACCUGGGUGCUGCAUUUCAAACUGGAAGUCUAGAGUGCAGGAGAGGAGAGUGGAAUUCCUAGUGUAGCGGUGAAAUGCGUAGAGAUUAGGAAGAACACCAGUGGCGAAGGCGACUCUCUGGACUGUAACUGACGCUGAGGCUCGAAAGCGUGGGGAGCAAACA